UACGGAGGGUGCAAGCGUUAAUCGGAUUUACUGGGCGUAAAGCGCACGUAGGCGGUUCGUUAAGUCGGAUGUGAAAUCCCCGGGCUCAACCUGGGAGCGGCAUUCGAUACUGGCGAACUGGAGUACGAGAGAGGGGGGUGGAAUUCCAGGUGUAGCGGUGAAAUGCGUAGAUAUCUGGAGGAACACCGGUGGCGAAGGCGGCCCCCUGGCUCGAUACUGACGCUGAGGUGCGAAAGCGUGGGGAGCAAACAGG
rnacentral:rRNA from 1 species